rnacentral:lncRNA from 1 species
ACCCUCAGCACUUAGCACAGUGCCUGACAUGGUAGACUCUAUACAUGUUUGGUGAAUUAAUGGGUUAAUACCAAAAAUCACAUGGUAGUGAUGGGUUUACAUAGUCUGUAGUUAACUAUCUAUAUAUGUUGCUCAUUAGGAAAAAUGUAUAUAAUUGUUCACUAUUCUGGGUCUAGUUUCUUUCUCAGUUAUUCUUUCUGCUAUCCAUAUAAACACCCUGAUAAGAAUAUCAUCAGGUAUGGUUUAAAGAGGCAUGAAGAACCACAAAGACUAUAACACUCGCAACCUUGGUCUGAGUUCUGAAUCUACAUUUAUUUGCUAUAUAACCUUGAGAAAAUUACUUGACCUCUCUAGGUUUCAGUGUCUUCAACUGCAAAAAAAAAAAAAAAAAANAAAAAAAAAAAAAAAAAAGGAUAAUAAUAUCUAACUUGUAGGGUUGUUAUGAGAAUUAAAGAUUUGUUAUGCAAAGCACUUAAUACAGUUCCUGGUUCUUUUUCUAUUUAUGCCUCUCCUUAUUUCCAAAGGGAUUUAAAGUAGCUAAAAAGUUACCUACAGGAAGUACCUGGUGGCUCAGCAAGGCUAGGAGCCAGCAUUGUCACUGCUGUGGCUCAGGUCACUGCUGUGGCAUGGAUUCAUCCCUGGCCCAGGACCUUCCACAUGCUAUGCAUACAGCCUAAAUAAAUAAAUAAAUAAAUAAAUAAUACCUUUAGGAGUUCCCAUCAUGGCUUGGCAGAAACCAAUCUGACUAGUAUCCAUGAGGACACAGGCUCAAUCCCUGGGAUCCGGUGUUGCCAUAAGCUGUGGUGUAGGUCGCAGAUGAGGCUCAGAUCUGGUGGUGUUGUGGCUGUGGUAUAGGCCAUUGCCUACAGCUCCGAUUCGACACCUAGCCUGGGAACCUCCAUACGCCAUGGGUACAGCCCUAAAAAGACAAAUAAUAAUAAUAAAAUAAUAGCUUUUUUAAAAAGUUACCUAGAACAAAGUAAAUAAAUUUAAAAUAAAAGGUAAAAUUUUCAGGACAAAAGGAAAACAAGUAUAGUAAAAAACAGUAAAAUAGGACUUACAGCAUCUUGCACACAGUAGGCAUAAAAGAAAACAUUGGUGGUGGUGGCAAUGGUUUGUACUAAUAAUAUCAGGCAUCAUUGCUACUGUCAUUAUCUCUGCCUGGAGAAUUCCAUUCAUCCUUCAUUUUCCAAAUAGACACUACCUCUACUAGAUAGCAAAUAUAAUGUAAAACCUCAAAAAUUAAAACAGUAUGGUACUGGUACACAAAUAGACAGACCAAUAGAACAAAACAGUAUGUCCAUAAGAGAUCUAGUAUAUGAUAAAGUUGCAUAUGUAUGCACAUAAAGUUUAUGAUAAAGUUUAGUAUAUGAUAAAUUUGCAAGAUUUUGAAAACCUCAGAUACAAAUGUAUAAACUAAAGCAAUGAGACCUUAAGUAACUUGCCAAGUUUACACAGCUAGUAAAUUAUACAACUGGAAUUUGAAUUUAGGCAUUCUGAUUCCAGAGACCAAUGUAGUAACUUUAUGUAAUUUUAAAAUUUUUAUGUAAUUUUAAAUUUAUGUAAUUUUAAAAAGCAAAAUUCAGACAAGUAUCCAUAAUAUGCUACCUUUGGGGUAAAAGAAAGGGAGAAAGAAAACAAAAACCUAUUUGUUUGCUUGUGUAAGCAUUCAGAAAUUCUGGAAGAACAAACAAGAAACCAAUAGUGUAGUAGUUACCUUCGGAGAGCAUGGGGAUGGGCAGAAGAGUAAUGAGGGUUAGAGGAGAUAAAUAUAUUUAUCAAUUUAUUUUAAAAUAUAUGCAUGUGUAUUUGAACUAUAUGAAUGUAUAACAAUCCAAAAUUAAAAUAAGUGCAAAAACUGAAAGUGUUCAUCCUGGGCAAGCCUUUUCAGACCACCUUCCAAGCACAGUAAGCCUACCCCCUUCCAUUUUCUCCUCUCACCUGCGCCUACACUUUUCUGGCACAUAUGUUGCACUGCCCUCAUUUAUGCUCCCCUCUCCUGCUCACUUGGCCCCAGCCAAGCUCUGAUCUCUUCGAAGGCAAGCUUCUGUUUCUUUCCUUCUUGCAUUCCCAGCACAUAGUGCAGUCCCUGAAGUAUGGCAGGCAUCCAGUACAUGGGGAAGUAAAAGUGGGAAAAGAGAAGAAGGGGGACAGACCAGCCAACCUUGUGGUAUUAGCACUGUGGAAAGGGGAAUCAACUCCCGCCUCUAUGUAAAAAUAGGAAUUUUAAGAGGAAGUGGAGAGGAAAAUACAGCAACCCUUGCAGAAAAGGUGAUCUCAACCCAACUACAGCAAAGAGUGAAAAAGGGUACUGUGGGCCAGUACUAAUCAGGGGGAAAUGAGGAAGGUGAACCCCCAACUGAGGAAGAGGAGAGAGCUGAGACCGGCCCUGGAAGGGCAAGAAAGGGAGCACAAGACUGAGAGAACCGAGUACUCCGUGCCACAGGAGAUUCAGCUGACGACUCCAGUGCCCUCUAAUGACUGAAAACGGGACAGAGGGCGUGUGAAAGAUUAGCACUGGAGGAGACCCCCAGCUUGCCUGUGCUGACCGCACAUGUGGUCUACUGCUUUCCGUUCAUUUAAAACUCUGCAUACAGGAGUUCCCGUCCAGAAACGAAUCCGACUAGGAACCAUGACGGUGCCGGUUGGAUCCCUGGCCUUGUUCAGUGGGUUAAGGAUCUGGCGUUGCCCUGACCUGUGGUGUAGGUCACAGACGCGGCUGUGGCUCUGG